UUUAGUUGUUUGUAUUCAGAAAUUGUACAUCAGUUUGACACUCACUCCUCCCACUUUUUUCUUUUCAUUUUUCACACUCUCUCUCCGAGUCUCUCACUUUUCUCAUCAUCUCUCUCGCUCUCCUCUUUCACUUUCUCUUACUCUCAAUUUCUCUUUUUCUCUCCUCAUUCACCUAGCAACAUCAAAAUUGAAGUAUGAAGAAAUUUGUAAUUGAAGAUACAUGUCCAAAAUCCAUUGUUUCGUUUUUGUCUUCGUCUUCGUCAUUCAUCGUCAUGGCCAUCAAUACCAACUCAAAUUGAAGUUUCAUCUAAUGUUCAAUUAUCUUCAAUUUUGAGUAGAAAUGUCUAAUUUCUUGAUUCUUAUACUAUACUCAGUAAUCCUAAAUCUCUAAUUUCAUGUUUUCUAAUUUUUUAUUGAUUUCCCCAAAUAUGUAGAAAUCCUUAACCUGUGAGUUUUUCCACUCGUUUCUCAUUUAUAGUUCAUACAAGUUUCAAUUCAGAUUAGAUUUACAAGUUUGUGCAUUUUGUUUAUAUGCAUUACGCUUAAAAUGGUCAUUUUUGAAACUGUUACCAUUCUUCAAAAUCAUGGAGCUUAACUGUUUUUGUGAGAAUUUUUCUAAUUCAAUCUAGAUCUAUAAUUUGUGUUAGCAUUAUUGUGAGAAUUUCUGGUUUGAAUUCAACUCUUAGUUUGAUAUUAAUGUUGGUGUGAGUGAUAUUUUUACUAGUUGAAGUUAAAAUGUUGGGUUGUUUUUUCUAUUCCUUCCUCCUCCCUCCUUUGCAAAGUCUUUACUGUUUAGUAUUUACUAUUAACUUGUUAAUUUCCUAUGUGAUGUUAUAUUGGAUAAACAUAAACAAUUUACCAUUUGGCUACCCUUAUGCUUAUAACAGGUCCAUUACUGAAAGAUGAGACCUUCAAGGAGAUUUCCAAGUCCAAGAGAUAUGUUCUUAUCAUAUUUUUGCAUAGAAAUUAGAUGAAAUGCAAAAGCUAUUUUUUUACUUUCAAUUUGUGCUGAUUUUGCUCCUUCCCUGUUAAAAUAGUUUUGGCACAUUUAUAGCUUUUUCUUCCCUUUUUAGCAGUAAUUACUAAUUAGUAGUUAAGAGAGUUUUUACUUCCCUUUCUAUAAGUCUUGCUUGUUGACAGAUUGAUUAAUGAUUAGGUGAAAGGGAGAAGGGAAUGUCAUUGGGAUUGCAGAGUCCUAAACUGGCUGGAGGCUUUUGAACAUGCCAUUUGGGAGAUGUAUUCUUAAUUAUUGGGUUCCAUUUGAGGCAUUGCUUUUGAAUGAUUGUAUUGGCAUGGGAGAGUGUAGCUACUUAUAAAGGAAAAUAGAAAGAGACACAGGUUCCUAAAUCAUUUACAAUUUUUUUGUAUAUGUAAUGCUAGGUGCCUAGAUAUAACAUGUGUUUCUGGUUCAUGGCGUCAUCUAUUACAUUUAGCACACUAGAGAGAAGUUAGAACUUCUGCCGUAAUACAAUUAAGUCAUG
rnacentral:lncRNA from 1 species